rnacentral:lncRNA from 1 species
GGUUAUUUAUAUCCUGUAGAAGUCGGUGGUAUUAAAUCCACUCAAGAAAUAAGAGAAGUCAGCAGCUAAGUCACGCAAAACCUUUGUCAAAAGAUUGUAGGGUGAAUGUGUUUUUUUGCAUCCAAUGCUUUAUGUGUGGGUCUAAUACAGAUUCUGUGCAUGCAUCUGCUGCAGGGACCUUUUCAGAAGAGCCUCUUAAGACACAUGUUUCGGAAUGGGGUCAAAUGCGUGCUGCUGUAUGACCAGCCUAUUUGAACUGCUUAAGCAUCAACUAAUUAAUCUGCAAGUGAAGAACACUUUCAGCAUUACUCUAAAAUUAGACAAUCUCAGGAGGAAACGAGGAUUUCAGAGGGGAGUCAGAUGGUUUUGCAGACCACUGCAUCAUUUACUUUUUCAUCACUCAGAUUAUGCCUCCAAAUCCUACGGAAGUAUAACAACCACAGAAGAGAUAAAACCCAACAGCAUCAACAACAGAGAAGAUCAGUUCAGGAAGAUAUGAAACCCUUUGUAAUAAAGAAAGCAACACUGUGAA